GUGGGGAAUUUUGGACAAUGGGGGCAACCCUGAUCCAGCCAUGCCGCGUGCGGGAAGAAGGCCUUCGGGUUGAAAACCGCUUUUGUCAGGGAAGAAAUCCUUUGGGUUAAUACCUCGGAGGGAUGACGGUACCUGAAGAAUAAGCACCGGCUAACUACGUGCCAGCAGCCGCGGUAAUACGUAGGGUGCGAGCGUUAAUCGGAAUUACUGGGCGUAAAGCGUGCGCAGGCGGUUUUGUAAGAUCGAUGUGAAAUCCCCGGGCUCAACCUGGGAACUGCAUUGGUGACUGCAAGGCUGGAGUGCGGCAGAGGGGGAUGGAAUUCCGCGUGUAGCAGUGAAAUGCGUAGAUAUGCGGAGGAACACCGAUGGCGAAGGCGGCCACCUGGACAGGUACUGACGCUGAGGCGCGAAAGCGUGGGGAGCAAACAGGAUUAGAUACCCGAGUAGUCC
rnacentral:rRNA from 1 species